rnacentral:rRNA from 1 species
GACGAACGCUGGCGGCGUGCUUAACACAUGCAAGUCGAACGGAAAGGCCUCUUUCGGGGGGUACUCGAGUGGCGAACGGGUGAGUAACACGUGAGUAACCUGCCCUUGACUUUGGGAUAACUUCAGGAAACUGGGGCUAAUACCGGAUAGGAGCUCCUGCUGCAUGGGGGGGGUUGGAAAGUUUCGGCGGUUGGGGAUGGACUCGCGGCUUAUCAGCUUGUUGGUGGGGUAGUGGCUUACCAAGGCUUUGACUGGGAGCCGGCCUGAGAGGGUGACCGGCCACAGUGGGACUGAGAUACGGCCCAGACUCCUACGGGAGGCAGCAGUGGGGAAUAUUGCACAAUGGGUGGAAGCCUGAUGCAGCAACGCCGUGUGCGGGAUGACGGCCUUCGGGUUGUAAACCGCUUUCGCUCAUGACGAAGCUUUGUGUGACGGUAGUGGGUAAAGAAGCACCGGCUAACUACGU